CAAGCUCACUUCCUACUGAAUGUGAUAGAGGGAGUGUAAAUUUAGUAGAGAGCUAUUCCUCAUCAGCUGAUAAUAUAAGUAGAGUCGCAACAUGCUUAAAAAGAAAUUAUCCAUGUUCUGCUUCGGGAGCAAAACAUCAUUCCUUACAUAUUAAUUGUGGUGGAAGGGAGAUAAAUAUUGGUGGGGUUAAGUAUCAAGUUGAUACAGAACAAAAAGGUGCUUCAU